GACGAACGCUGGCGGCGUGCUUAACACAUGCCAGUCGAACGGAAAGGCCCUGCUUUUGUGGGGUUCUCGAGUGGCGAACGGGUGAGUAACACGUGAGUAACCUGCCCUUGACUUUGGGAUAACUUCAGGAAACUGGGGCUAAUACCGGAUAGGAGCUCCUGCUGCAUGGUGGGGGUUGGAAAGUUUCGGCGGUUGGGGAUGGACUCGCGGCUUAUCAGCUUGUUGGUGGGGUAGUGGCUUACCAAGGCUUUGAAGGGUAGCCGGCCUGAGAGGGUGACCGGCCACAUUGGGACUGAGAUACGGCCCAGACUCCUACGGGAGGCAGCAGGGGGGAAUAUUGCACAAUGGGCGGAAGCCUGAUGCAGCAACGCCGCGUGCGGGAUGACGGCCUUCGGGUUGUAAACCGCUUUAGCCUGUGACGAAGCGUGAGUGACGGUAAUGGGUAAAGAAGCACCGGCUAACUACGUG
rnacentral:rRNA from 1 species